GUGGAUUAGAUACCCUGGUAGUCCACGCCGUAAACGUUGGGCGCUAGGUGUGGGACUCAUUCCACGAGUUCCGUGCCGCAGCUAACGCAUUAAGCGCCCCGCCUGGGGAGUACGGCCGCAAGGCUAAAACUCAAAGGAAUUGACGGGGGCCCGCACAAGCGGCGGAGCAUGUGGAUUAAUUCGAUGCAACGCGAAGAACCUUACCAAGGCUUGACAUAUACCGGAAACACCCAGAGAUGGGUGCCCCGCAAGGUCGGUAUACAGGUGGUGCAUGGCCGUCGACAACU
rnacentral:rRNA from 1 species